rnacentral:rRNA from 1 species
UACGGAGGAUCCAAGCGUUAUCCGGAUUUAUUGGGUUUAAAGGGUGCGUAGGCGGCCUAUUAAGUCAGGGGUGAAAGACGGUAGCUUAACUAUCGCAGUGCCUUUGAUACUGAUAGGCUUGAAUACACUUGAGGUAGGCGGAAUGUGACAAGUAGCGGUGAAAUGCAUAGAUAUGUCACAGAACACCAAUUGCGAAGGCAGCUUACUAAAGUGUGAUUGACGCUGAGGCACGAAAGCGUGGGGAUCAAACAGG